GACGAACGCUGGCGGCGUGCCUAACACAUGCAAGUCGAACGAGCGAGAGAGAGCUUGCUUUCUUGAGCGAGUGGCGAACGGGUGAGUAACGCGUGAGGAACCUGCCUCAAAGAGGGGGACAACAGUUGGAAACGACUGCUAAUACCGCAUAAGCCCACAGGUCGGCAUCGACCAGAGGGAAAAGGAGCAAUCCGCUUUGAGAUGGCCUCGCGUCCGAUUAGCUGGUUGGUGAGGUAACGGCCCACCAAGGCAACGAUCGGUAGCCGGACUGAGAGGUUGAACGGCCACAUUGGGACUGAGACACGGCCCAG
rnacentral:rRNA from 1 species